rnacentral:rRNA from 1 species
UACGGAGGGUGCAAGCGUUAUCCGGAUUCACUGGGUUUAAAGGGUGCGUAGGCGGGCAGGUAAGUCCGUGGUGAAAUCUCUGAGCUUAACUCAGAAACUGCCAUGGAUACUAUUUGUCUUGAAUAUUGUGGAGGUAAGCGGAAUAUGUCAUGUAGCGGUGAAAUGCUUAGAUAUGACAUAGAACACCAAUUGCGAAGGCAGCUUACUACACAGUUAUUGACGCUGAGGUACGAAAGCGUGGGGAUCAAACAGG